UACGUAGGUGGCAAGCGUUGUCCGGAUUUACUGGGCGUAAAGAGCGCGCAGGCGGUCGUCCAAGUCGCGUGUGAAAGCCCCCGGCUCAACUGGGGAGGGUCACGCGAUACUGGUCGGACUCGAAGGCAGGAGAGGGUAGUGGAAUUCCGGGUGUAGCGGUGGAAUGCGUAGAGAUCCGGAAGAACACCGGUGGCGAAGGCGGUUAGCUGGGCAGUUGCUG
rnacentral:rRNA from 1 species